rnacentral:rRNA from 1 species
AACGAACGCUGGCGGCAUGCCUAACACAUGCAAGUCGAACGAGACCUUCGGGUCUAGUGGCGCACGGGUGCGUACCGCGUGGGAACCUGCCCUUAGGUUCGGAAUACCUCCCCGAAAGGGGUGCUAAUACCGGAUAAUGUCUUCGGACCAAAGAUUUAUCGCCUUUGGAUGGGCCCGCGUUGGAUUCGCUAGUUGGUAGGGUAAAAGCCUACCAAGGCCACGAUCCAUAGCUGGUCUGAGAGGAGGAUCAUCCACACUGGGACUGAGACACGGCCCAGACUCGUACGGGAGGCAGCAGUGGGGAAUAUUGGACGAUGGGCGAAAGCCUGAUCCAGCAAUGCCGGGUGAGUGAUGAAGGCCUUAGGGUUGUAAAGCCCUUUUACCCGGGAUGAUAAUGACAGUACCGGGAGAAUAAGCGCCGGCUAACUCCGUG